rnacentral:rRNA from 1 species
CGACGGACCCUUUUCGCGGUGGUCCCACCUGACCCCAUGCCGAACUCAGAAGUGAAACGCCGUAGCGCCGAUGGUAGUGUGGGGUCUCC